CACCACCCAGUGGAACCAUCAAAGGAACUGAAUAUACUGUAACACCGGUAAACGCGAUGGCGGCAGCUGGCAUUCAGAAACAAACAUUCCACGUUAUACAUUGCCUAUUACAAAAUGAACGAGAUAUUGAUAUGGUGGAGACUGAUGGUCCUGAAGAUGAGAACUCAUUUGACCCUGUAAAAAUAGCCUCUAAGCUCAGGGAACUGGGUGACGAGUAUGAUGAGAAAGUGAUCCAGCCACUGAUGAAGAAUGUACAGAGAGCUGCAGCCGAUCAGGUGGUGACUGUGUUUAGUGAUAGCGUGGACAGCCUGUGUAAGAUGUGGGUUGUGGAUAGAGCAGAAGUGGCCUCAGAGAAGCAGCUCCUCAAGGCUGCCAUCACACUGGGACUCUUUAUGAAGAAAAACUGCCCUGCCAUGAUGAAUGUAGUUGAGGUCGCUAUGAUGGGAUUCGUAAACAACCGUCUAACAAACUGGAUUGCAGAGCAAGGGGGCUGGGUCUCUGUCUCUGUGAACAGCAUGUGUUGAGAUUGGAGCUCAUGGUCUCAUUCUCUGAGAGACGCUCAAUCAUUUCUCUAAAGUUUGAUUUGUAAUACAGGAUAAACUGUAAAUGGUGCUCUUUUUAGACAAUCACAGCCAGAAAAAUUGAGAAUUUCAUUUUUUACAAUUUUUUUACUCUAAUACAGAUAUUUGUGGCUGAAUGUUUCAAUUGAUGCUGGAAUUCUCAACCAACAUUUUUUUUUUUUAAAUAAUAGACGUGUGUCUUAUGAUGUUGUCAAAUUCUGUAGUCAUAUUUCUUUACAUCACUGAUGUAACUCACAAGUGUGUGUUUUAAAUCCUUUGAAAAUGAAGCACUUUGUACAAAUGUAUCCGUCUCAUAGGGACACGUGUGUUGUAAUAAACAUUAGUGAAAUGUUAGUCUUCCUUCACAAGAGAUCAAAUAAAUAUGGGGUGGACAUAUUGAGCAAUUUUAUGGUUUUAUUCUAUCCUAGUAACAAUAAGGCAAUAACAAUUACUCGCUAAUGACUUCACUUCACUAAUAAUGACUGGGCCAUUCAACAUUCAACAUAAGCAUGCUUAUUUUUACUUGAAUAAAAAUUAG
rnacentral:lncRNA from 1 species